AAAUUAGAGACAAUAGUUGUUGUCAAGUGAAAAAUAGUUAGACAAAGUGAGUGAUCUCAGCAAUAUAGUGAGACAAUUGAAGGGGAAAAAUCAAAUUGACAAGAAGACAUAUAUUUAACUUGAAACCAUACAAUACAUUGAAUACAAGGUACUAAUGUCCAAUAUCUAAUGAAUGUCCAAUGUAGUACUACAAGUAUAAUCAUGGCAUUGCUCGUGAGGGACCUUGGUGGCCGAGACCAAAAUAUGGAGUAUAAGGACAUUGGUAGAAGUGAGGUUAAGAAUAUUGCUACGUACCAAGGAAAACAUGUUGAUGGGUACUCCAUGAAGUGGGUAGAAAAUGUGGGAACAAAAAUUCUACAUAUAUUCUUUCAUUCCUUUUCAAGAAUUAACUAUUACCAG
rnacentral:lncRNA from 1 species